GUGGGAUUAGCUAGUUGGUGAGGUAAUGGCUCACCAGGGCGACGAUCCCUAGCUGUUCUGAGAGGAUGAUCAGCCACACUGGGACUGAGACACGGCCCAGACUCCUACGAGAGGCAGCAGUGGGGAAUAUUGGACAAUGGGGGCAACCCUGAUCCAGCCAUGCCGCGUGUGUGAAGAAGGCCUUCGGGUUGUAAAGCACUUUCAGUAGGGAGGAAAGGUAAUAACUUAAUACGUUAUUACUGUGACGUUACCUACAGAAGAAGGACCGGCUAACUCCGUGCCAGCAGCCGCGGCAAUACGGAGGGUCCGAGCGUUAAUCGGAAUUACUGGGCGUAAAGCGUGCGCAGGCGGUUUGUUAAGCAAGAUGUGAAAGCCCCGGGCUCAACCUGGGAAUUGCAUUUUGAACUGGCAAACUAGAGUCUUGUAGAGGGGGGUAGAAUUCCAGGUGUAGCGGUGAAAUGCGUAGAGAUCUGGAGGAAUACCGGUGGCGAAGGCGGCCCCCUGGACAAAGACUGACGCUCAGGCACGAAAGCGUGGGGAGCAAACAGGAUUAGAUACCCUGGUAGUCCACGCCGUAAACGAUGUC
rnacentral:rRNA from 1 species